rnacentral:rRNA from 1 species
GACGUAGGGCGCGAGCGUUGUCCGGAUUUAUUGGGCGUAAAGAGCUCGUAGGCGGUUUGUCGCGUCGGGUGUGAAAACCUCGGGCUUAACUCGGGGCUUGCUUUCGAUACGGGCAGACUGGAGGUAUGCAGGGGAGAACGGAAUUCCUGGUGUAGCGGUGAAAUGCGCAGAUAUCAGGAGGAACACCGGUGGCGAAGGCGGUUCUCUGGGCAUGACCUGACGCUGAGGAGCGAAAGUGUGGGGAGCGAACAGG